rnacentral:rRNA from 1 species
GUACACGCUGUGACUAGCAUAUCAAUAAGCGGAGGAAAAGAAACUAACAAGGAUUCCCCUAGUAACGGCGAGUGAAGCGGGAAGAGCUCAAAUUUGAAAUCUUAAAGGGUUUCCCUUUACGAAUUGUAGUUUAAAGAAGUGUUUUCUGUUGAGGUUUUGGUAAAAGUUCUUUGGAAUAGGACAUCAUAGAGGGUGAGAAUCCCGUAUUUGACCUUUACUUUCAACUUUGUGAUACACUUUCAAAGAGUCGGAUUGUUUGGGAAUGCAGUCCAAAAUGGGUGGUAAAUUUCAUCUAAAGCUAAAUAUUGGCGAGAGACCGAUAGCGAACAAGUACCGUGAGGGAAAGAUGAAAAGAACUUUGAAAAGAGAGUUAAACAGUACAUGAAAUUGUCAAAAGGGAAGCGUUUGACACCAGUGUUGUUUUUCUGAAAAUCAAUUAAAGAACUGUUUAUGCUAAGUUGUUUAGACUUUAUCAGCUAACUGUUUAGUUUUGAGCUUUUCUUUAAUGCACUUUUCAGUUAACAAGUCAACAUCAAUUUCUUUUGCUGUAAAAAAGCUUGAGGAAGGUGGCUUGAGAUUCGUCUUAAGUGUUUAUAGCCUCUUGCCUAUGCAGUCGGAGAGAUUGAGGUCUGCAGCGUAGAUCCUUCGGGGCUAAAUGCAUUUGUGCUAAGUUAUAGCAUUUUCAUAGACAACUUGUUGACUAUGAUUUGUCUUGUAGCUUACUCGCUUAUGUUAUUUUACCUACGCUUAGGAUGUUGACAGCAGUAUAGACUGU